CGAGCGCAAGCCCUACUUUCUGUUGCUACCAGGUAAUGCUGGGCACUCUGAAGGAACUGCCGGUGACAAACCGGAGGAAGGUGGGGAUGACGUCAAAUCAGCAUGGCCCUUAUGUCCAGGGCUACACACGUGCUACGAUGGCCGGUACAGAGGGUCGCGAAGCCGCGAGGUGGAGCAAAUCUCAGAAAACCGGUCUCAGUUCGGAUCGCAGUCUGCAACUCGACUGCGUGAAGCCGGAAUCGCUAGUAAUCGCGAAUCAGCAUUGUCGCGGUGAAUACGUUCCCGGGCCUUGUACACACCGCCCGUCACACCACCCGAGUUGGAGGCACCCGAAGAGGCUGCGCUAACCGCAAGGAGGCAAGUCGCUAAGGUGAAUUCGGCAAGGGGGGUGAAGUCGUAACAGGUAGCCAGGGCGAUUCCAGCACACUGCGCCGUAUAGUAUCCGAGCUCGUA
rnacentral:rRNA from 1 species